UACAGAGGGGGCAAGCGUUGUUCGGAAUUACUGGGCGUAAAGGGCGCGUAGGCGGCCUUCUAAGUCGAACGUGAAAUCCCUGGGCUCAACCCAGGAACUGCGUCCGAUACUGGAAGACUUGAAUCCGGGAGAGGGAUGCGGAAUUCCAGGUGUAGCGGUGAAAUGCGUAGAUAUCUGGAGGAACACCGGUGGCGAAGGCGGCAUCCUGGACCGGCAUUGACGCUGAGGCGCGAAAGCCAGGGGAGCAAACGGG
rnacentral:rRNA from 1 species